rnacentral:rRNA from 1 species
AAUUACUGGGCGUAAAGCGCGCGUAGGUGGUUCGUUAAGUUGGAUGUGAAAUCCCCGGGCUCAACCUGGGAACUGCAUUUGAAACUGGCGAGCUAGAGUAUGGUAGAGGGUGGUGGAAUUCCCAGUGUAGCGGUGAAAUGCGUAGAUAUUCGAAGGAACACCAGUGGCGAAGGCGACCCCCUGGACUGAUACUGACACUGAGGUGCGAAAGCAUGGGGAGCAAACAGGAUUAA